GGGAUUGUGGCUCAGUGGUAGAGCGCUCACCUAACACGUGGGAAGCCCUGGGUUCGAUCCUCAGCACACAUA
rfam:Ictidomys tridecemlineatus contig087998, whole genome shotgun sequence.